CAGGUUCACUAUAUAAAGACAUCAGCAUUUUCAGUUUGGUAUUCUACGAUUCAGAAAUCACUUCCUACUCAGCUAAACUUCUUAAAAUCUUGCUUUAUCCUAAACUCUUAAGGAGUUUAACAUAAAAAGGGCCAAGCAGGAGAUCAGAAGAGUGCCAACUUCAGGAUGCCUUCUAUCAUAGGACUACUCACAGGUGGACUGGGAUAUGCCUUGGUGUGUGCUAUUUUAUUACUGUCCAGAUACCUGGGCAGAACUGCCCAUGCCCGUUGAGAAAUGGAUCCUGCCAGUAUGCCUCAGAGGGAGCCCAGAAGACAUCUAAAAGCCACUCAAAGAAAAAUUAAGUGAAACCCACUGUGUAAUUAAGCAAAUCUAAACAGCAUCUCUCACUGGAACCCAAAGAAGACCUUCUCCUUCUAGGCUUUCAUAACCCAGGAUCUCCCUUUCCUGACAAAUGAGGAAAUACCUUACCCAUUGCUUAUACCCUGAAUCUUGUGGUUUGAUUCAGUUUGAUAAAUCAUAGUCUAAUAAACAAGUAGGAAUGUAAUACGCAUUUUAA